UUCUAAAAUCUAUAUGAUUAUCUUAACAGAAAAAUCUCCGACAUACAAAAUUCUUUAAGGCUGUUUUUAGCGAUGUAGUUGCUAUGCAACAACUAAGCAAGGCAUUACCUAGAGAGUGCACUUCAAAAAUGAGUCUAUUUGAGUGCUUCCAACCAAAAAUUUGGUGGAAUAUGUGAAGUCGCCCCUGUUUAUUUUCCAGUCAGGGUUUGAUUCAUAUUAAGUUAACUACAUUU